CAGUUGUGCAAGCUUUAUUCAUGUAUUUUAAAAUAGUAUUGGUCUCACUGACUUCAAGAAUGAAGACUUCUUGGUCUCACUGACUUCAAGAAUGAAGCCACGGACCCUCGCAGUGAGUGUCACAGCUCUUAAGGUGGCGCGUCUGGAGUUUGUUUCUUCUGAUGUUCGGAUGUGUUCAGAGUUUCUUCCUUCUGGUGGGUUCACGGUCUCGCUGGCUCAGGAGUGAAGCUGCAGACCUUCGUGGUGAGUGUUACAGCUCUUAAGGUGGCGCGUCUGGAGUUGUUCGUUCCUCCCGGUGGGCUCGUGGCCUCGCUGCCUUCAGGAGUGACGCUGUAGACCUUCGCGGUGAGUGUUAAGCUCAUAAAAGCGGUGUGGACCCAAAGAGUGAGCAGUAGCAAGGUUUAUUGCAAAGAGUGAAAGAACAAAGCUUACACAGUGUGGAAGGGGACCCGAGCAGGUUGCCACUGCUGGCUCUGGCAGCCUGCUUUUAUUCUCUUAUCUGGCCCCACCCACAUCCUGCUGAUUGUUAGAGCCAAGUGCUCUGUUUUGACAUGGCGCAGAUUGGUGUGUUUACAAUCCCUGAGCUAGACACAAAGGUUCUCCACGUCCCCACCAGAUUAGCUAGAUACAGAGUGUGGGUUGGUGCAUUCACAAACCCUGAGCUAGACACAGGGUGGUGAUUGGUGUGUUUACAAACCUUGAGCU
rnacentral:lncRNA from 10 species